GAUUAACUAACAAAGGGCAACUGGACACUAACACAUUGGCUUGACAACCGCGUCCAGAGGAUACUCCUAAGAACUUGGGUUAAAAGGCCUACCAGCGUGAUGUUAAACAAAGAAAAGGCGGCAAGCCAAGAAAACGUCUAUUAAGAGUAAUUGUGAAUUUAACCCAAAUCUCUAAGAGUUGAAGCCACACUUUUAACACUGCCUCCCAAAGAUAAUUCUCUACCCACCAACGUAUGAGAAGCCCUGGUCUGACAAGAAAUAGGUGGGACUGACCCAGAGUGCAGGCCCUGAGAGUAUGAUGAGGCAGCAAGGGAGAAUCACAAAAAAAGAUAAUUCAGAUGAUCCAGAACUCAUUUUAGAUGAAAUGUAUAAACUUCUAAAAACAUACAACCCACCAAGACUGAAUCAUGAAGAUGUAGAAAACCUGAG